CAGAUGCUUCCAAGCAUGAAUUCCAGUUGGUUCUUAUCUCUGCUUCACUUGCUUUUAGAAGCAAAGACCCAGGAGGAGGCUUCCAGUUGGUUGAGCAGGGGCAUAUGGGCCACCAAGGGGCCCAAAUAGAAGGUCUCCGUUUUCUAUAGUUGGACUUCUCAGACCUGGAUUCUCUACCAUAGGGUUUUUCUUCAACGGCCCUUGUGGCUGAUGGGAGAAUUCUGUAUUCACAAUCUACUAAGGCAGCCGCACAGAAGAUCUCUUGACCAACAGUUUCAUGACCGACCUUAAGGAAGCAUUGGAGACGUUCAUAUAGUCACGACUAUGCAAAGAGACACAUGCCUUCUUCCUAUGAAAAUAAUGCCCAGGGAAUCACUGCAUACUCGAGCCCUCCAACUGCAGGCCAAGUGACUUUGAGCAACAGUUACAUCUAUCAGAAACGCUCAGACCCCUCUGCAGAACUGGAGCACUCCAGAAAACCACCGACGCCAAUCACUUACUCUACAGAGGGGAAAUGUGAGUUUCAGAGAGAAGUCAUUUUCUCAAAGGCUCUGUAACAAGUUCCUUCUCUAUUGAAAGGCAGUCAUUCCUCAUACUUAAAACUCAUCUUCAGGAUGAAUAGAUAAGUAAUAAAGCAAGCAGAACCGAAUGUUAAUGGUAGAAUCUAGGUGACAGAUGUAUGCGUGUUCACUGUACCAUUCUUCUAAACUGGCUGUAUAUUUGAACAUUUCUGUAAUAAAAUGUUGAGGAACAUUUGUAAAAUAAAUCUAAACUUU